rnacentral:rRNA from 1 species
UACGUAGGGGGCAAGCGUUGUCCGGAUUUAUUGGGCGUAAAGAGCGUGUAGGCGGCCACACAGGUCUGCUGUGAAAACUCGAGGCUCAACCUCGAGCUGUCGGUGGAAACCGUGUGGCUAGAGUCCGGAAGAGGAGAGUGGAAUUCCCGGUGUAGCGGUGAAAUGCGCAGAUAUCAGGAAGAACACCAAUGGCGAAAGCAGCUUUCUGGGACGGUACUGACGCUGAGACGCGAAAGCGUGGGGAGCGAACAGG